GAUGAACGCUGGCGGCGUGCCUAAUACAUGCAAGUCGAGCGAACGGACGAGAAGCUUGCUUCUCUGAUGUUAGCGGCGGACGGGUGGGUAACACGUGGAUAACCUACCUAUAAGACUGGGAUAACUUCGGGAAACCGUGGCUAAUACCGGAUAAUAUUUUGAACCGCAUGGUUCAAAAGUGAAAGACGGUCUUGCUGUCACUUAUAGAUGGAUCCGCGCUGCAUUAGCUAGUUGGUAAGGUAACGGCUUACCAAGGCAACGAUGCAUAGCCGACCUGAGAGGGUGAUCGGCCACACUGGAACUGAGACACGGUCCAGACUCCUACGGGAGGCAGCAGUAGGGAAUCUUCCGCAAUGGGCGAAAGCCUGACGGAGCAACGCCGCGUGAGUGAUGAAGGUCUUCGGAUCGUAAAACUCUGUUAUUAGGGAAGAACAUAUGUGUAAGUAACUGUGCACAUCUUGACGGUACCUAAUCAGAAAGCCACGGCUAACUACGUG
rnacentral:rRNA from 1 species